CCUGCCGUGCACGCUGCCCCGUGCUGGUGUCGCGGGGGGGCUGUGGUGGUCCUUCUAUUCCCGGGAAGGGAAGAGGGAGGGAAGCUCCCUGAUCACGUAGCUGCUGGUGCGUGGUCACACCACUCAGUGCUUUCACACCAGAGCUCUUGCGUGAUCUAGUUUUUACCUCCUUUCAGGGAUGAAGUGGUCUCUGGCUUCACUCUUUGGAAGGAGCAACUUGGGAAGAUCAGAAGCCUGGUAGAGUUGUCCUAAAGUGUGGUCUAAGCAUGCCCUAAAGUGCUGCAGCUGUGUGUGCACCAAGACGAGCAGAGGGUGUAGAGUCUAGAGACUUGCUGAGACAAGUGAAAAUUGAGAUUCCCUGUUACAGGACCCAAAGACCUAGAGAGCAGCUUGGGCUGAUAGAGCAUGAUACAGAGACAUCUUGCGAUAGACUAUUUCAGUAUAAGGUGCCAAAAAUGGAAGAGGAAACAUUUUAUGUGAUUAAACAACUGAGACGUUCUGACAGAUGUUUGCCUGACAGAGUUUGCAGGAAAAGCAGCGCUGCUAGGAUCUGGUUAGUGCUCGUGCGUGUGUUUGUGGCCCAAAUUCAGGGGGAGGUGUUAAUAGCUGGCUGUCUCACGCAGACUUCUAGGACCCCUUCCCAUUUCUGUGGGCUUUGCGGUGUGCAUUGUGCAGUGCCUCUGAGUGCAUUUGGCAUGGACUCAGUUCUUGGUGCUGGGCUAGCUGCAAAAUCCUUUCCCAUCCCUGUCCCAACAGCUUUCUCUCCUCUCCUGUUUUCCUCUUCUAGAGACUUCCUUUUUCUUAGCAUCUUUGCUUUUGGUUUUCUGGAUCAUGGCUCUGUGUUUCUUGCUUGUACUUCAGGAAGUUAUUAACUGGUUUCAGUAAAAGCUUUUAACGUAGAUCUUGCUAAAAUAAAAUCACAGCGAAGGUUCUGGUUCUGACCUCUUGGUCCUGGCUGAAUGUCCUUCCACUUUAAUUCCCAACCAGAUGUUUUUGUGCUUUAAGGGCUUGGGGCUUUGACAAUUUUUGAGUAUUAAAAGACCUUUAAUUAGAAGUUUGAAUUCAAGAUAAUACAGCUAUGGCUUUGGAAAAUUUGCAGUUGAUUAUUUCCUAUUCUUACGUAGGUGGCAGAAAGGCCCUAAAUAUUUUGAAAUUGUAUUUGGAGAAUAAAUAAAAAUGAAUUCAGACCUGUCCAAGCUAGUCUUUUUUUUACCUCAGAUUAGUUAGAGCAGGAUGGACCUUUUUGUGAUGCGUAAUCAAGUUGGAAACUUGUUUUGAGUCAGACCGCAAAAGUUUAAUCCCCUUCAGGGAUUAUGGUACAUUUUGCAUAUUGCCUCCAAGUGCCUAUCCGAGGAUUCAAUGGAUGCUUUAACCCUGCUGCUAUCUAUAGCACUUUGGAAAGCAUUCAUUCAUAAAAAUGGAUUUUAACAACAGCUUUGCAAAGACCUGAAGGAAAGCAAGGGUGCCUGGGAGAACAAGGAACAUCACUGAUUGCCCGGGAAGACAUCGUGAUUCUGGCAACUGCAGUGAUGAAAAAGGACACCUACCUUGUGUGCCAGGAGUACUAUAACUCAUUUGGGGUUGAGUUCACCUCAAAAAGGAAGAGCAGGGUGAAUUCAUACAAGAACAAUUGUGGGCUAGUGAAGUUGCAAUGCUCCCAGAGCCAGCUUGGACAGUUUUCACUCAAGUUUGCCCCCUUAUAAUGUGCAGAUUUGGAAAUAGGGUGAGUUUAGAAUAAGAAUACCCAAGAAAGGCAUCCUGUGAUUGAGUCAGAUAAUACAUAUUUCUCCUCCCCCCAACCUGUGCAGCCCUCUCCUGGGGAGUCCAAGCAGUAUUAGUUCUCCAUAGACUCCUGCUGCGUCCUUCUGUUAAGCC